rnacentral:tRNA from 1 species
GACCCUGUCGUCUAACCGGUGAGGACAUCGCCCUUUCAAGGCGAAAAUCGGGGUUCAAAUCCCCGCUGGGUCA